CAGUGACACCAGUGACACCAGUGACACCAGUAUAACCAGUACAGGUACACCAGUGACACCAGUAUAACCAGUACAGGUACACCAGUGACACCAGUAUAACCAGUACAGUGACACCAGUGCUGCCGGUUCUGGGACACCAGUACACUGAUUCCAGUGUCCCCAGUCCAUCCCAGUCCAUCCCAUCCGUCCCAGUCCAUCCCAGUCCAUCCCAGUUUCCCCAGUCCAUCCCAGUCCGUCCCAGUCCAUCCCAGUCCCUCCCAGUCCGUCCCAGUCCAUCCCAGUCCCCCCCAGUCCGUCCCAGUCCAUCCCAGUCCCCCCCAGUCCGUCCCAGUCCAUCCCAGUCCGUCCCAGUCCAUCCCAGUCCCUCCCAGUCCAUCCCAGUCCGUCCCAGUCCAUCCCAGUCCCCCCCAGUCCGUCCCAGUCCAUCCCAG